rnacentral:rRNA from 1 species
GUCCUCUUGUUUGUAUAGGAGGUCUGACCUGCCCGGUGAAAUAGAUUUUAACGGCCGCGGUAUUUUGACCGUGCAAAGGUAGCAUAAUCAUUAGUCUUUUAAUAGAGGGCUGGAAUGAAAGGUUUGACGAGGUUCUAGCUGUCUCAUUUAAUUUGAGAUUAGAAUUUAACUUUUCAGUCAAAAGGCUGAGAUGAUAUUGGAAGACGAGAAGACCCUAUAGAGCUUUAUAGCUGUGGACUAUAGUUAGUUUUUGUUUAUGAUUACUAAUUAUAGUCCUAGCUAUUUUGUUGGGGUGACAAAAAUAUAUAAUCAACUUUUUUAUUAAUUUUACAUUGAUGUAUGAGUUUAGGAUCCAAUCUUAUUGAUUACUAGAUUAAGUUACCUUAGGGAUAACAGCGUAAUCUUCCUUCAGAGUUCAUAUUUACAGGAAGGCUUGCGACCUCGAUGUUGGAUUAAGAAAAUAAUUAGGUGUAGCCGCUUAAUGUAUAGGUCUGUUCGACCUUUAAAUUCUU